GUGGAGGUUAUAAUAUUCACGACACCUCUUGUAGUAGUGGCAGUGCUGCUGGGUUUGCUGCCAUUCACUUGGGAAACUAUUACUUUAUUAACACUUUUGGAAUCAGUUUUUGGCUUCUGUGACAAAAGAUUGUAAGGAGACUGUGAACGAGGUGAUGAAGCAACCCUUGAACCUGCCAUGGCCGUGGCCUCGCCAACGUUUCUUUUAACCGAUAUCCUCUUAACGCCCGUCACAGUCGCUGAAUCAUUCCCACCACAACCACCAUUGGCACUGUUGUUCUUAUCCGUUUCCACAUGAGAGACCGUUGCUGGGACUGAAACCAUUUUUGCUGGCCGAUUGAGAACACCACCAUUAUUGGUAUUGGCAUUGACAUUGGAAGUAUUAUUCGAAACAUUUGUUGCAGAGGGCUCCGCCGACCGUCGACCAGGCGACCUGCUGACACGCCUCUCUCUACUGCUGGACCGUUGAUUCUGAUCUCUCUCCCUACUUGGGGUCCUCCUCCUCCCUUGAGAGGAAGAGUGCCUUGGAGAUUGGCGGUGGCGCUGCCUCUGGUGGUGACGUUUCUCCACUGGAGUUCCAUCAUCAUAAACCUCAACAGAAUUAAGAUUCCUCCCAUCUUCAUCUUCAUCACCAAAAUUGCCAGAGUUAACACCAUCUCUAUCACAAUGAUCAAAAUCAUAGCUUCUCUUCGAACCAGAGUACUUUCUUCCAUUACCCUUAGCAGACGAACUCCGACUCAAUCUACCACACUGAAUCAAAAUAGCAUCAACUUCCUCUUUAGUACAGCUCGAAGUUCUGACCAAACCCACCUUCAUAUUUUCCCCCACAGCUCCAGACUCCAAAAUUUCACAGGAAGAAGAAGACACAGUAGGAGUAGCAGCAGAGAAAAUAUGACCAUUCCCCUCUUGACAUGGAACAAGAGAACCCCCAUUCUUAUCUCUUCCAUCAUGGCUUUUUCUGUGCUUAAUCACAAAAACCUCCUUCUUCACAGGGUACUCACUUCUUUCUUCUUUCCUCUCACCAUUUUCCUCCCCAGUUUUGUUGCAGGUCUUGAGUUGCACAUCAGUGGUAGGAGGCUGAGAAAUUGGAAUGAUGGGUUUGGUGCAGACAUUGGAAGAGGUGGGAUCUGGAGGUGAAGGUACAGAGGUGGAAGAAAUUGAAGGUAAAGUCUUCUUCUUUUUGCUCAAACAAGCACCCAUUAGAGAUAUUGAGAAGACCCAACAAUGGAAAUUCUCUAAAGAAGUAGGAAGAGAGAGAGAGAGAGAAAGAAGAGAUUGGGGAGUUUUGAGAUUUGAAAGUGAGAUUAGUGAAGAGGAGAGAGAGAGAUAAAAGAGAAAAGGAGGGUAACGGGUGGCGCACUGUUCAAGAAGCAUUUUCAAAAUGCUGCAACUUUUUUUAUUUUAUUUAAAAUGAGAGAGAGAGAGAGAGAAAGAAAGAGAAGAGAAUUCGAAAUUUGAGUUAUGUUUGUAGAGAGGGAAAGGGUGAAAGAGAGCAAAAAAUUCUGACAAUGAGAGAGCCGUUGGAUAAGUUGAAUAGAGUUCAGAAGGGGUUGUCCUUUGACCCCAACAACAAAAACAACAACCCAAGUAACAAACCCAACUCUCUGUCUCUCUCUCAAUCUCAACUCUAAAAAUAUAUAUUUUGGCUCCUACUUGUUUCAAAUAAAUAAAUGAAACUCUUAUUUCUUUCUUUC